rnacentral:rRNA from 1 species
UAGACCGCCUGGGGAGUACGGCCGCAAGGUUAAAACUCAAAUGAAUUGACGGGGGCCCGCACAAGCGGUGGAGCAUGUGGUUUAAUUCGAUGCAACGCGAAGAACCUUACCUGGUCUUGACAUCCACAGAACUUUCCAGAGAUGGACUGGUGCCUUCGGGAACUGUGAGACAGGUGCUGCAUGGCUGUCGUCAGCUCGUGUUGUGAAAUGUUGGGUUAAGUCCCGCAACGAGCGCAACCCUUAUCCUUUGUUGCCAGCGAUUAGGUCGGGAACUCAAAGGAGACUGCCAGUGAUAAACUGGAGGAAGGUGGGGAUGACGUCAAGUCAUCAUGGCCCUUACGACCAGGGCUACACACGUGCUACAAUGGCGCAUACAAAGAGAAGCGACCUCGCGAGAGCAAGCGGACCUCAUAAAGUGCGUCGUAGUCCGGAUUGGAGUCUGCAACUCGACUCCAUGAAGUCGGAAUCGCUAGUAAUCGUGGAUCAGAAUGCCACGGUGAAUACGUUCCCGGGCCUUGUACACACCGCCCGUCACACCAUGGGAGUGGGUUGCAAAAGAAGUAGGUAGCUUAACCUUCGGGAGGGCGCUUACCACUUUGUGAUUCAUGACUGGGGUGAAGUCGUAACAAGGUAACCGUAGGGGAACCUGCGGUUGGAUCACCUCCUUACCUGAAAGAAGC